ensembl:lncRNA
GUGAGUCCAGGGUGCAGGCAGGGUUGAGCCCACCUGGAUGAGGUGCUUGAGUCCAUCAUCUCAGUGAAGACGGGGUGAUGUUAGUGAGCAUGUACAGUCUUCCCUCAGUAUCCCUGAGGGAUUUGUUCCAGGAUUCCCCAGAGAUACCAAACUCCUCAGAUGCUCAAGUUCCUUAUGGUAUAAGAUGGUGCAGUGAGGUCAACCCUCCUAUUUGCGGUUCCACAUGAGCAGAUUCAACCAACUGCAGAUGGAUCUGGUUGGUUGACUUGCAGGCUGCAGAAUUCCUGAAUACAAAGGGCCAACUGUGUGUUAUAGAAGAGAAAAAAGCUGACCCAGCCCACCCCGCAUUCUCCUAGAGGGGAAUACUUUGAAUGGCGCUUGUCACCAAUGUGCUUAAGUCCAAAGCCAGGGAGUCCUCCUCCUUUUCCCUUCCUUUAGUGAUGCUGACCCGGUUGUUUACCAGAGCCAAGGAGGAAGGACCAGCUGGCUCUGCCCUGAUGCUGCACAGCUCAUGACGGAUGGAUUCCAGCCCUACUUAUCCUCCCUGUCCUGUGGGGCCCAAGUAAAUAGGGCUCUUUUGUAUGAGGAACCCCGGAGUUGCUGAGUGCCCAGCCCACCAGCCCAUGUGGCGGGAUUCAGGUCAGAGAGAAGUCAGAAGCCUAAAGAAACUUGCAGGGAUAUUUGCAACCUAGUUCCUGACAAGAUGGAAAGAUGAACACAGGAUCCUUCCCUGUCAUGGCUUCGCUCAUAGUAGACACUCAAUAAAUACUCACUCACUUCUUUAAUUAGAUAGAA